rnacentral:rRNA from 1 species
AUUGAACGCUGGCGGCAGGCCUAACACAUGCAAGUCGAACGAGUGGCGGACGGGUGAGUAAUGUCUGGGAAACUGCCUGAUGGUGGGGGAUAACUACUGGAAACGGUAGCUAAUACCGCAUACCAUCGGAUGUGCCCAGAUGGGAUUAGCUAGUGGGUGGGGUAAAGGCUCACCUAGGCGACGAUCCCUAGCUGGUCUGAGAGGAUGACCAGCCCAACUGGAACUGAGGCACGGUCCAGACUGCUACGGGAGGCAGCAGUGGGGGAUAUUGCACAAUGGGCGCAAGCCUGAUGCGGCCAAGCCGCGUGUAUGAAGAAGGCCUUCAGGUUGUGAAGUACUUUCAGCGGGGAGGCGUUACCCGCAGAAGAAGCACCGGCUAACUCCGUGCCAGCCGCCGCGGUAAUUC